rnacentral:rRNA from 1 species
GACGAACGCUGGCGGCGUGCUUAACACAUGCAAGUCGAACGGAAAGGCCCUGCUUUUGUUGGGUUCUCGAGUGGCGAACGGGUGAGUAACACGUGAGUAACCUGCCCUUGACUUUGGGAUAACAUCAGGAAACUGGGGCUAAUACCGGAUAGGAGAUCCUGCUGCAUGGUGGGGGUUGGUAAGUGUCGGCGGUUGGGGCUGUACUCGCGGCUUACCCGCUUCAUGGUGUGGUAGUUGCUUACAAAGCGUACGACGGCUAGCCGGCCUGAGAGGGUGACCGGCCACAUGGGGACUGAGGGACGGCCCAGACGCCUACGGGAGGCAGCAGUGGGGAAUAUUGCACAAUGGGCGGAAGCGUGAUGCAGAAACGCCGCGUGCGGGAUGACGGCCUUCGGGGUGUAAACCGAUUUCGCCUGUGACGUAGCGGGAGUGACGGUAAUGGGUAAAGAAGCACCGGCUAACUACGUG